GAGUUUGAUCUUGGCUCAGAUUGAACGCUGGCGGCAUGCCUUACACAUGCAAGUCGAACGGCAGCAUGAUCUAGCUUGCUAGAUUGAUGGCGAGUGGCGAACGGGUGAGUAAUACAUCGGAACGUGCCCUGUAGUGGGGGAUAACUAGUCGAAAGAUUAGCUAAUACCGCAUACGACCUGAGGGUGAAAGUGGGGGACCGCAAGGCCUCAUGCUAUAGGAGCGGCCGAUGUCUGAUUAGCUAGUUGGUGGGUAAAGGCCCGACCAAGGCGACGAUCAGUAGCUGGUCUGAGAGGACGAGUCAGCCACACUGGGACUGAGACACGGCCCAGACUCCUACGGGAGGCAG
rnacentral:rRNA from 1 species